rnacentral:rRNA from 1 species
GGGGAAUUUUGCACAAUGGGGGAAACCCUGAUGCAGCGACGCCGCGUGAUUUAGAAGGCCUUCGGGUUGUAAAAAUCUUUUGUAUAGGAAGAAAAUGACAGUACUAUACGAAUAAGGUCCGGCUAAUUACGUGCCAGCAGCCGCGGCAAUACGUAAGGACCGAGCGUUGUCCGGAAUCAUUGGGCGUAAAGGGUACGUAGGCGGGUCACUAAGUUAGAAGUCAAAGGCUAUAGCUCAACUAUAGUAAGCUUCUAAAACUGGAGACCUUGAGUAAUGGAAGGGAAAGUGGAAUUCCUAGUGUAGCGGUGGAAUGCGCAGAUAUUAGGAGGAAUACCGGUGGCGAAGGCGACUUUCUGGCCAUUAACUGACGCUGAGGUACGAAAGCGUGGGUAGCAAACAGGAUUAGAUACCCUGGUAGUCCACGCCGUAAACGAUGAGUGUUAGGUGUCUGGAGUAAAUCUGGGUGCCGCAGCUAACGCAUUAAACACUCCGCCUGGGGAGUACGCACGCAAGUGUG